AGUGAACGCUGGCGGUAGGCCUAACACAUGCAAGUCGAACGGCAGCACAGUAAGAGCUUGCUCUUACGGGUGGCGAGUGGCGGACGGGUGAGGAAUACAUCGGAAUCUACUUUUUCGUGGGGGAUAACGUAGGGAAACUUACGCUAAUACCGCAUACGACCUACGGGUGAAAGCAGGGGAUCUUCGGACCUUGCGCGAUUGAAUGAGCCGAUGUCGGAUUAGCUAGUUGGCGGGGUAAAGGCCCACCAAGGCGACGAUCCGUAGCUGGUCUGAGAGGAUGAUCAGCCACACUGGAGCUGGGACAGGGUCCAGACUCCUACGGGAGGCAGCAGUGGGGAAUAUUAGACAAUGGGCGCAAGCCUGAUCCAGCCAUACCGCGUGGGUGAAGAAGGCCUUCGGGUUGUAAAGCCCUUUUGUUGGGAAAGAAAAGCAGCAGGUUAAUACCCCGCUGUUCUGACGGUACCCAAAGAAUAAGCACCGGCUAACUUCGUG
rnacentral:rRNA from 1 species